GAUGAACGCUGGCGGCGUGCCUAAUACAUGCAAGUCGAGCGAACAGACGAGGAGCUUGCUCCUCUGACGUUAGCGGCGGACGGGUGAGUAACACGUGGAUAACCUACCUAUAAGACUGGGAUAACUUCGGGAAACCGGAGCUAAUACCGGAUAACAUGUUGAACCGCAUGGUUCAACAGUGAAAGACGGUCUUGCUGUCACUUAUAGAUGGAUCCGCGCCGCAUUAGCUAGUUGGUAAGGUAACGGCUUACCAAGGCAACGAUGCGUAGCCGACCUGAGAGGGUGAUCGGCCACACUGGAACUGAGACACGGUCCAGACUCCUACGGGAGGCAGCAGUAGGGAAUCUUCCGCAAUGGGCGAAAGCCUGACGGAGCAACGCCGCGUGAGUGAAGAAGGUCUUCGGAUCGUAAAACUCUGUUAUUAGGGAAGAACAAAUGUGUAGUAACUAUGCACGUCUUGACGGUACCUAAUCAGAAAGCCACGGCUAACUACGUG
rnacentral:rRNA from 1 species